UGGGAUUAAAUCUCCUUUGGCUCCUUGCCGUGUGGGACUGAGCAACUGCUAGAUCCUUGGACUUCCAUUCUACAGCUGCUACUGACUGUUGUUGGGUGUUGGACUGCAGGCGUGACCGGAAGCCCAUCACAGCAGAAAAGAACAGAGCACUUUAACCUAUAAAGACAAAGAAUUCUUCAGUUUGCAGUUGCAGUUCCUGCCCAAUGGUUUCUUUUGCUCAGUGGACCGUUAGUAAAAUGCGUGGG
rnacentral:lncRNA from 1 species